rnacentral:rRNA from 1 species
AUUGAACGCUGGCGGCAGGCCUAACACAUGCAAGUCGAGCGGAGUGGCGGACGGGUGAGUGAGGCCUACGAGUCUGCCCGGUCGUUGGGGAUGACGUCCGGAAAGGGGCGCGAAGACCGCAUCCUAUCAGAUGAGCCUAGGUCGGAUUAGCUAGUUGGUGUGGUAAAGGCCUACCAAGGCGACGAUCCGUAACUGGGCUGAGAGGAUGAUCAGUCACACUGGAACUGAGACACGGUCCAGACUCCUACGGGAGGCAGCAGUGGGGAAUAUUGGACAAUGGGCGAAAGCCUGAUCCAGCCAUGCCGCGUGUGUGAAGAAGGUCUUCGGAUUGUAAAGCACUUUAAGUUGGGAGGCGUUACCAACACAGUAAGCCACGGCUAACUUCGUGCCAGCAGCCGCGGUAAUUC